CACAUAUAUCUUAAUUUUUCAUGAGAGUUACUAGAGAUAGCCUACAUCUCAUAUCUGCGGCCAUGUAUAGAUACUCUCGUGUAGGUGAGCACCUCCAGAGAUAUGUACAAUAUCACAUCUCAUGGAAAAUACUAUCUCGGAUCUUAUUUAGAGUUGAAACUCUUUCUAACAACUACAUAGGAGCACUAAUCAUCAUAGGGAUAAAAUGAAGUCUAUGACUCUUAUACCAAAUAAACCACAUGUGCUUCCUGACCAACUAAUUAGCUUGUUAUUACCAUAUUGAAUCUCUUUCAAGGGAUCUCCUAUUACAGAGAUUGAAUUCUCACUAUUAGAAGAUUCUUUAUAGGCUAAGCCCCAUUUCCCUCGAUCACUCUAGAAUCUUAGUCCUAUUUAAGCUUUUUGUAAUAUAGACUAGCUACGAAAAUCUUCCCCUCACAAUAUCUUAUGAACUUAUGUCCUAUAAAUGUUCAGUCAUAUCAUCAGAGUAAAAGAAAUCAAAGAUAUUUCUUUAUCACAGAAUGCUAUUCAUCAUUUCUUAAAAGAUAAGAUAUCAAUGAAAAAAAAAAUAUGCAUUAAAACUCUAGCAUGUCCCAUUUAUGCAACAAAUCAUUCAUAUUGAUUUAUGUAGACAUAUCAACAUAUGUAUUAAUCAUAAAUAUUAACAUAUUUAUUAGGCAAAGCCCAAUUCUUUACAUUUCAAAACAAUUUUUCUUGUAAUCCUGCAUUUUAAUGUUUGCAUGUCUUUGUUGCUAAAAUGGUUAUAUCAUCUAUUUUCCUUAAUUGAGACUAACAAUGAAUUAAUGGCUAAUAUAUAUAUAUAAUUACCUAAUUAUUUUAUAGGAACUAAUAGUCAAAGCCUUUCCUUGACUGGCCACUGAUAAAGCACAACAUACACUACCACUGGAAC
rnacentral:lncRNA from 1 species